ACAACAUAUAAGCCGAAUUUCACGGCAUGGUCACAAAGGGUGGCCAGGAUGUGGAAGCCGGGGGCCCACAACAGGAUCCAAAUGGAUCCACCCCCUGGGGUGAAUGGCCGCAAGGAUAGCGCGACAAGCGCUACGGAGUGAGCCAGGGCUGGCUCUCAAGCCCAACCCGACAGCUAACCCGGUAGGCACUGAGAUGAUAU
rnacentral:sRNA from 1 species